AAAUGAAUAGACGGGGACCCGCACAAGCGGUGGAGCAUGUGGUUUAAUUCGAAGCAACGCGAAGAACCUUACCAAGUCUUGACAUCCCACUGACAAAGUAUGUAAUGUACUCUUCCUUCGGGACAGUGGAGACAGGUGGUGCAUGGUUGUCGUCAGCUCGUGUCGUGAGAUGUUGGGUUAAGUCCCGCAACGAGCGCAACCCUUAUCCUUAGUAGCCAGCAGUAAGAUGGGCACUCUAGGGAGACUGCCAGGGUGAACCUGGAGGAAGGUGGGGAUGACGUCAAAUCAUCAUGCCCCUUAUGACUUGGGCUACACACGUGCUACAAUGGCAUGAACAGAGGGAAGCGAAGCGGCGACGUGGAGCGAAUCCCAGAAAACAUGUCCCAGUUCGGACUGCAGUCUGCAACUCGACUGCACGAAGCUGGAAUCGCUAGUAAUCGCAGAUCAGAAUGCUGCGGUGAAUACGUUCCCGGGUCUUGUACACACCGCCCGU
rnacentral:rRNA from 1 species